UACCUGGUUGAUCCUGCCAGUAGUCAUAUGCUUGUCUCAAAGAUUAAGCCAUGCAUGUCUAAGUGCACGCCUUCAUACGGUGAAACCGCGAAUGGCUCAUUAAAUCAGCUAUGGUUUAUUGGAUCAUACCCGUUAAAUGGAUAACUGUAAUAACUCUAGAGCUAAUACAUGCCCCGAAGCCCUGACCCGCGAGGGAAUGGGUGCACUUAUUAGAUCAGAAGCCAACCAGGUAGUGUUCUUCUGCCUUCGGGUGGGAGCUCCGCUGCCUGUCGUCCUUCUGGUGACUCUGGAUAAUUGUUACAGAUCGCAGUCGGCCUUGCGUCGGCGACGGGUCCUUCAAAUGUCUGCCCUAUCAACUUUCGAUGGUAGGUGACCUGCCUACCAUGGUGAUAACGGGUAACGGGGAAUCAGGGUUCGAUUCCGGAGAGGGAGCCUGAGAAACGGCUACCACUUCCAAGGGAGGCAGCAGGCGCGCAAAUUACCCACUCCCAGUACGGGGAGGUGGUGACGAAAAAUACCGAUGCGGGACUCUUAUUGAGGCUCCGUAAUCGGAAUGAGUGAACUCUAAAUCCUUUCACGAGGAUCAAUUGGAGGGCAAGUCUGGUG
rnacentral:ncRNA from 1 species